rnacentral:misc_RNA from 1 species
GUAUAUAUUUUCACUUUUCAUUAUAGACAUUCUAAACUCGUUUGUGAUAGAUGACAUAGACCCCGAGGGCAAAAGGCAAAGCUGGCCUUUCAAAGAGAAAAGCAACAGCAGUCCCUACUCGAAUGAGAACAUUCAUAAAGCCAGGCUCGAGGAUCUACAUUAGGUGCACAGUUGGUGAAAUAAUAAAGAUGAGACAAGCGUGCACACGCCCCCAGAAAGGGCCAGCAACAGCCUGUUCAAGUUUAUAAUACGAUAAUGAUCCUUCCGCAGGUUCACCUACGGAAA